AAUGAACGCUGGCGGCAGGCCUAACACAUGCAAGUCGAACGGAUCCUUCGGGAUUAGUGGCGGACGGGUGAGUAACGCGUGGGAACAUACCCUUUGGUACGGAAUAGCCUCGGGAAACUGGGAGUAAUACCGUAUGUGGUCGAGAGACGAAAGAUUUAUCGCCAAAGGAUUGGCCCGCGUUGGAUUAGGUAGUUGGUGGGGUAAUGGCCUACCAAGCCGACGAUCCAUAGCUGGUUUGAGAGGAUGAUCAGCCACGCUGGGACUGAGACACGGCCCAGACUCCUACGGGAGGCAGCAGUGGGGAAUCUUAGACAAUGGGGGAAACCCUGAUCUAGCCGUGCCGCGUGAUCGAUGAAGGCCUCAGGGUUGUAAAGAUCUUUCAGGUGGGAAGAUAAUGACUGUACCACCAGAAGAAGCCCCGGCUAACUCCGUGCCAGCCGCCGCAGUAA
rnacentral:rRNA from 1 species